GAUAGUGCACAAGUACCGUGAGGGAAAGGUGAAAAGAACUGAGGUGAUCAGAGUGAAAUAGAACCUGAAACCAUUUGCUUACAAUCAUUCAGAGCACGAUUCUUUAUGACGUGUGAUGGACUGCCUUUUGCAUAAUGAGCCUGCGAGUUGUGGUGUCUGGCGAGGUUAAGGAAACCCGGAGCCGUAGCGAAAGCGAGUCUUAAUAGGGCGUAUAGUCAGAUGCUGCAGACCCGAAACGAUGUGAUCUAUCCAUGAGCAGGUUGAAACUGGUGUAAGAGCCAGCGGAGGACCGAACAGACGGCCGUUGAAAAGGCUCCUGAUGACUUGUGGAUAGGGGUGAAAGGCCAAUCAAACAUCGUGAUAGCUGGUUCUCUCCGAAAUAUAUUUAGGUAUAGCGUUGUGUCGUAAUUAUAAGGGGUAGAGCACUGAAUGGGCUAGGGCAUAUACCAAUGUACCAAACCCUAUCAAACUCCGAAUACUUAUAAUGUAAUCACAGCAGUCAGGCGGCGAGUGAUAAAAUCCGUCGUCAAGAGGGGAACAACCCAGACUAACAGCUAAGGUCCCUAAAUCUCAUUUAAGUGGAAAACGAUGUGGAGUUACUGAAACAACCAGGAGGUUGGCUUAGAAGCAGCCAUCCUUUAAAGAAAGCGUAAUAGCUCACUGGUCUAGUGAUUCUGCGCGGAAAAUAUAACGGGGCUAAAAUGAGUACCGAAGCUUUAGACUUAGUUUUUAACUAAGUGGUAGGAGAGCGUUCUAUUCAGCGUUGAAGGUAUACCGGUAAGGAGUGCUGGAGCGGAUAGAAGUGAGCAUGCAGGCAUGAGUAGCGAUAAUUGAUGUGAGAAUCAUCAACGCCGAAAACCCAAGGUUUCCUACGCGAUGCUCGUCAUCGUAGGGUUAGUCGGGUCCUAAGCAAAGUCCGAAAGGGGUAUGCGAUGGAAAAUUGGUUAAUAUUCCAAUACCAAUUAUUAUGUGCGAUGGAAGGACGCUUAAAGUUAGUGGAGCUAGCGGAUGGAAGUGCUAGUCUAAGGGUGUAGGUUGAGUUAUAGGCAAAUCCGUAACUCUUUAUCCGAGACCUAAAAGGCUCAUGACGCUCUUCGGAGUAGAUUGAGAAUCCAUGAUACUAUCGAGCCAAGAAAAGUUUCUAAGUUUAGUAAUAAUUGCCCGUACCGUAAACCGACACAGGUGGGUGGGAUGAGUAUUCUAAGGCGCGUGGAAGAACUCUCUUUAAGGAACUCUGCAAAAUAGCACCGUAUCUUCGGUAUAAGGUGUGCCUAACUUUGUAUUAAGAUUCACUCCCAAAGCAAAGAAGGUUACAACAAAGAGUCCCUCCCGACUGUUUACCAUAAACACAGCACUCUGCUAACACGUAAGUGGAUGUAUAGGGUGUGACGCCUGCCCGGUGCUCGAAGGUUAAUUGAUGAUGUUAGCUAUGCGAAGCAUUUGAUCGAAGCCCGAGUAAACGGCGGCCGUAACUAUAACGGUCCUAAGGUAGCGAAAUUCCUUGUCGGUUAAAUACCGACCUGCAUGAAUGGCGUAACGAGAUGGGAGCUGUCUCAAAGAGGGAUCCAGUGAAAUUGUAGUGGAGGUGAAAAUUCCUCCUACCCGCGGCAAGACGGAAAGACCCCGUGGACCUUUACUACAGCUUGACACUGCUACUUGGAUAAAGAUGCGCAGGAUAGGUGGGAGGCUUUGAUCCAUAGACCCUGGUUUAUGGUGAGCCAUUGUUGAGAUACCACUCUUCUUUAUUCGGGUAGCUAACUAGCCUAAGUUAUCCUUAGGUAGGACAAUGUCUGGUGGGUAGUUUGACUGGGGCGGUCGCCUCCCAAAAUGUAACGGAGGCUUACAAAGGUUGGCUCAGAACGGUUGGAAAUCGUUCGUAGAGUAUAAAGGCAUAAGCCAGCUUAACUGCGAGACAUACACGUCAAGCAGAGACGAAAGUCGGUCUUAGUGAUCCGGUGGUUCUGUGUGGAAGGGCCAUCGCUCAAAGGAUAAAAGGUACCCCGGGGAUAACAGGCUGAUCUCCCCCAAGAGCUCACAUCGACGGGGAGGUUUGGCACCUCGAUGUCGGCUCAUCGCAUCCUGGGGCUGGAGCAGGUCCCAAGGGUAUGGCUGUUCGCCAUUUAAAGCGGUACGCGAGCUGGGUUCAGAACGUCGUGAGACAGUUCGGUCCCUAUCUGCCGUGGGCGUAAGAAGAUUGAGGAGAGUUGACCCUAGUACGAGAGGACCGGGUCGAACUAGCCACUGGUGUACCAGUUGUUCUGCCAAGAGCAUCGCUGGGUAGCUAAGCUAGGAUGAGAUAAGAGCUGAAAGCAUCUAAGCUCGAAGCCAACUCCAAGAUGAAUCUUCUUUUAAGAGCUCUAGUAGACUACUAGUUUGAUAGGCUGGGUGUGUAAUGGAUGAAAGUCCUUUAGCUGACCAGUACUAAUAGCUCGUUUGCUUAUCUUUAUAUAAGCAUCACUUC
rnacentral:rRNA from 1 species